GGGGAUUUAGCUGAGCAGCAUAAGCACCUGCCUUGCAAGCAGGCAGUAUGGGUUCGAUCCCUGGUACCG
rnacentral:tRNA from 1 species